UGAAAUGGCCUAAGUAGCCUAAAGUCACCAAGUUGCAUCAGAUCUUAGAAGAUAAGCAAGAUCAUCUUUGGUGAGUACUUGGAUGGAAGACAAAUGCCAAGUGCUGUAGGCUAUAUUUC
rnacentral:rRNA from 11 species